GUGGGGAAUAUUGGACAAUGGGGGGAACCCUGAUCCAGCCAUGCCGCGUGUGUGAAGAAGGCCUUUUGGUUGUAAAGCACUUUAAGUGGGGAGGAGGCUUACCUGGUUAAUACCUGGGCUAAGUGGACGUUACCCACAGAAUAAGCACCGGCUAACUCUGUGCCAGCAGCCGCGGUAAUACAGAGGGUGCGAGCGUUAAUCGGAUUUACUGGGCGUAAAGCGCGCGUAGGUGGCCAAUUAAGUCAAAUGUGAAAUCCCCGAGCUUAACUUGGGAAUUGCAUUCGAUACUGGUUGGCUAGAGUAUGGGAGAGGAUGGUAGAAUUCCAGGUGUAGCGGUGAAAUGCGUAGAGAUCUGGAGGAAUACCGAUGGCGAAGGCAGCCAUCUGGCCUAAUACUGACACUGAGGUGCGAAAGCAUGGGGAGCAAACAGGAUUAGAUACCCCAGUAGUCC
rnacentral:rRNA from 1 species